rnacentral:rRNA from 1 species
GGGAAUUUUGUGCAAUGGGCGAAAGCCUGACACAGCGACACCGCGUGGAUGAAGAAGCCCCUUGGGGUGUAAAAUCCUGUCGGCUGGAACGAAAAAAAUGACGGUACCAGCAAAGGAAGCAUCGGCUAACUACGUGCCAGCAGCCGCGGUAAGACGUAGGAUGCGAGCGUUGUCCGGAUUUAUUGGGCGUAAAGAGUUCGUAGGCGGUUUGUUAAGUCUGAUGUUAAAGAUCAGGGCUCAACCCUGAGAGUGCAUUGGAUACUGGCAGACUGGAGUGUGGUAGAGGCUAGUGGAAUUCCUAGUGUAGCGGUGAAAUGCGUAGAUAUUAGGAAGAACACCAGUGGCGUAGGCGACUAGCUGGGCCAUAACUGACGCUGAGGAACGAAAGCCAGGGGAGCGAAU